rnacentral:rRNA from 1 species
CCUACGGGAGGCUGCAGUGGGGGAUAUUGCACAAUGGUCGGAACACUGAUGCAGCGAAGCCGCGUGGGUGAAGGAGUUCUUCAGCAUGUUAAGCCCUUUCGGCCGGGGAGAAACGAGUCGGUACCUGCCUAAGAAGCGCCGGCUAACAACGGACCAGCCGGCGAGGUAAUACGUAGGGGGCGAGCGUUAACCGGGUUCACUGGGGGUAAAGGGAUCGUAGAGGGCCAAGGAGGGCAGGGGGGAAAGCCCAGGGCAGAACCCCGGGCCUGCCGUUGAAACUGGCUGGCUGGAGUGGGAGAGGGGUAGGCGGAAUGCCUGGUGUAGCGGUGAAAUGCGUAGAUAUCAGGAGGAACACCGGCUGCGAAGGCAGCCUGCUGGAUCGCGACUGACGCUGAGGCUCGAAAGCGUGGGUAUCGAACAGGAUUAGAUACCCGAGUAGUC